UACGUAGGUGGCAAGCGUUAUCCGGAAUUAUUGGGCGUAAAGCGCGCGUAGGCGGUUUUUAAGUCUGAUGUGAAAGCCCACGGCUCAACCGUGGAGGGUCAUUGGAAACUGGAAAACUUGAGUGCAGAAGAGGAAAGUGGAAUUCCAUGUGUAGCGGUGAAAUGCGCAGAGAUAUGGAGGAACACCAGUGGCGAAGGCGACUUUCUGGUCUGUAACUGACGCUGAUGUGCGAAAGCGUGGGGGAUCAAAC
rnacentral:rRNA from 1 species